rnacentral:rRNA from 1 species
UACGGAGGGUGCAAGCGUUAUCCGGAUUUACUGGGUUUAAAGGGUGUGUAGGCGGGUCUAUAAGUCAGACGUGAAAUCCCUCGGCUUAACCGGGGAACUGCAUCUGAUACUGGAUGGCUUGAGAUUGGGAGAGGGAUGCGGAAUUCCAGGUGUAGCGGUGAAAUGCGUAGAUAUCUGGAGGAACACCGGUGGCGAAGGCGGCAUCCUGGACCAACACUGACGCUGAGGAGCGAAAGCCAGGGGAGCAAACGGG